rnacentral:misc_RNA from 1 species
UCUCCGUAGGUGAACCUGCGGAGGGAUCAUUACAGAGUUCAUGCCCUACCGGGUAGAUCUCCCACCCUAUGUUAUUAUUACUUUGUUGCUUUGGCGGGCCGUUAGGCUCCGGCCCGACUACCGGCCCCGGCUGGUAAGCGCCCGCCAGAGGACCCAAAACCCUGAAUAUUAGUGUCGUCUGAGUACUAUAUAAUAGUUAUAACUUUCAACAACGGAUCUCUUGGUUCUG